rnacentral:rRNA from 1 species
UACGUAGGCAGCAAACGUUGUUCGGAAUUAUUGGGCGUAAAGAGUGUGUAGGCGGUUGCGUGUGUCUGGUGUGAAAUCUCCUGGCUCAACUGGGAGGGUGCGCCGGAAACUGCGCGGCUUGAGUACUGGAGAGGAUGGCGGAAUUCCUGGUGUAGCGGUGAAAUGCGUAGAUAUCAGGAGGAACACCUGUGGUGUAGACGGCUAUCUGGACAGUCACUGACGCUGAGACACGAAAGCGUGGGGAGCAAAC